rnacentral:lncRNA from 1 species
UUCAAUCAUAAGAAGUCUCCCUUUACUACAGCGAUGCUCACGGCUCCACGGCUCGUCACAAUGCCAACAUAACCCCUUCGCAUAUCGCUCCCGAAGCUCUUCUCUUGUUAACCUCUUUGGUGUAGGGACUUGGUCGAUAGUAGGGGGGGCUGAGGGCUUCAAUAUUACUGGUUGAGGAGCGACCCUAGUCCUUCGAGCUUCAUGGUUCAAUU